rnacentral:lncRNA from 1 species
GGCAUAAACAAAGAGACCAUUUGGGCGAUUUUGGUGCCUUUCUGUUACUUUACUCACCUUUUUAUUAAGACUGCAUCUAUGCAGAUCAGUUUCUUCACUUCCAGACUGUAAGCGUGCUGCUCAGCCAAAAUUCUGAUCCUAAUGAAUGUAACUCGACUGCCCUGUCUUUCCUCCUUCCUCAUUUUCAUGAAUGUGUACUUCUAAGCCCCUCUAGCAGACAAUUUACACUUGGAGGGAGAAGAACAUCCCCUGAAGCUGAUGUGCUGUGAGCUGAUG